rnacentral:rRNA from 1 species
CAAGUAGAUAGUGAAAUCCUGGGGCUCAACCCUUUAAACAUUACCUAAACUGCUAAGCUAGAACAUAGAAGAGGUAGCUGGAAUUCCUUGUGUAGGAGUGAAAUCCGUAGAUAUAAGGAGGAACACCGAUGGCGUAGCCAGGCUACUGGUCUAUUAUUGACACUAAGGCACGAAAGCGUGGGGAGCAAACGGGAUUAGAUACCCCGGUAGUCCACGCCGUAAACUAUGGAUGCUA